rnacentral:pre_miRNA from 1 species
UUGAAGAAUUUUGAAGACUUUAACUUGUAUACUUGGAAAAUAUGAAGACUUUAGCUUGCAUACUUGGAAGAUUUGAAGACUUCAGCU